rnacentral:rRNA from 1 species
GACGAAGGGGGGCUAGCGUUGUUCGGAAUUACUGGGCGUAAAGCGCGUGUAGGCGGUUGCCCAAGUCGGGUGUGAAAGCCUUGAGCUCAACUCAAGAAAUGCACUCGGUACUGGGUGACUAGAGGACCGGAGAGGAUAGUGAAUUCCCAGUGUAGUGGUGAAAUACGUAGAGAUUGGGAAAGAACACCAGUGGCGAAGGCGGCUAUCUGGGACAGUGACUGACGCUGAGGCGCGAAAGCGUGGGGGAGCAAAACAGG